rnacentral:rRNA from 1 species
AUUGAACGCUGGCGGCAGGCCUAACACAUGCAAGUCGAGCGGCAGCACGGGUACUUGUACCUGGUGGCGAGCGGCGGACGGGUGAGUAAUGCCUAGGAAUCUGCCUGGUAGUGGGGGAUAACGCUCGGAAACGGACGCUAAUACCGCAUACGUCCUACGGGAGAAAGCAGGGGACCUUCGGGCCCUGCGCUAUCAGAUGAGCCUAGGUCGGAUUAGCUAGUUGGUGAGGAAUGGCUCACCAAGGCGACGAUCCGUAACUGGUCUGAGAGGAUGAUCAGUCACACUGGAACUGAGACACGGUCCAGACUCCUACGGGAGGCAGCAGGUGGGGAAUAUUGGACAAUGGGCGAAAGCCUGAUCCAGCCAUGCCGCGUGUGUGAAGAAGGUCUUCGGAUUGUAAAGCACUUUAAGUUGGGAGGAAGGGCAUUAACCUAAUACGUUAGUGUUUUGACGUUACCGACAGAAUAAGCACCGGC